rnacentral:hammerhead_ribozyme from 1 species
GCACUGCUGACGAGUCCAAAACAGAACAAAACAGCUGUCCAGUGC